AGCCCCAAGUUAUUAUUUGGGGUGAUACCUGCCCAAUGAAUUACAAGUUUUGAAUGGCCGCGGUACUUUGACCGUGCUAAGGUAGCAUAAUAAUUUGACUUUUAAAUGGAGUCUGGAAUGAAAGGGGUUACGGAAUGUAGCUGUCUCUUCAUAUUUUUAUAUGAAUUUACUAAAUAGGUGAAAAGGCCUAUAUAUGAUAAAAGACGAGAAGACCCUUAGAGUUUUGAUUUUAAAUUUUUGUUGGGGCGACAGAGAGUCAAACUGAACACUCUAAACACAUAAAUCGGUAUAUUAUCAAUUAUAGAUAAACUACCUAAGGGAUAACAGCAUAAUCCAGUUUUGGGAUUGUGACCUCGAUGUUGGACUAGGGCAUUCACAGGUUAGCCGCCUGCUGAUUAAAUUCUGUUCGAAUUAAUUUCCCCU
rnacentral:rRNA from 1 species